UACGUAGGGAGCGAGCGUUAUCCGGAUUUAUUGGGCGUAAAGCGUGUGUAGGCGGUUUAUUAAGUUUAAGGUCAAAUACCGAGGCUCAACCUCGGUUCGCCUUAAAAACUGGUAAACUGGAGUGCAGUAGAGGCAAGUGGAAUUUCUAGUGUAGCGGUGGAAUGCGUAGAUAUUAGAAGGAACACCAGUGGCGAAGGCGGCUUGCUGGGCUGUAACUGACGCUGAGACACGAAAGCGUGGGGAGCGAAUAGG
rnacentral:rRNA from 1 species